rfam:Thalassolituus oleivorans MIL-1 complete genome
UGUUAUCUGUACUAUUCGCGGCCCUUUCAUUAAGUAAGUGUAACGGAGUUAGACAUGGCCCGUAUUGCCGGUGUCAACAUUCCUGAC